rnacentral:rRNA from 1 species
CACGUGGGCAACCUGCCUGUAAGACCGGAAUAACCCCGGGAAACCGGGGCUAAUGCCGGAUAAUCAAUCGGUUCUCCUGAACCGAUGGUAAAAGGAUGGCUUCCUGCUAUCGCUUACAGAUGGGCCCGCGGCGCAUUAGCUGGUUGGUGAGGUAACGGCUCACCAAGGCGACGAUGCGUAGCCGACCUGAGAGGGUGAUCGGCCACACUGGGACUGAGACACGGCCCAGACUCCUACGGGAGGCAGCAGUAGGGAAUCUUCCGCAAUGGACGAAAGUCUGACGGAGCAACGCCGCGUGAA